rnacentral:rRNA from 1 species
AGUGAACGCUGGCGGUAGGCCUAACACAUGCAAGUCGAACGGCAGCACAGUAAGAGCUUGCUCUUACGGGUGGCGAGUGGCGGACGGGUGAGGAAUACAUCGGAAUCUACUUUUUCGUGGGGGAUAACGUAGGGAAACUUACGCUAAUACCGCAUACGCCCUACGGGUGAAAGCAGGGGAUCUUUGGACCUUGCGCGAUUGAAUGAGCCGAUGUCGGAUUAGCUAGUUGGCGGGGUAAAGGCCCACCAAGGCGACGAUCCGUAGCUGGUAUGAGAGGAUGAUCAGACACACUGGAACUGAGACACGGUCCAGACACCUACGGGAGGCAGCAGUGGGGAAUAUGGGACAAUGGGCGCAAGCCUGAGCCAGCCAUACCGCGUGGGUGAAGAAGGCCUUAGGGUUGUAAAGCCCUUUUGUUGGGAAAGAAAAGCAGCAGGUUAAUACCCAGCUGUUCUGACGGUACCAAAAGAAUAAGCACCGGCUAACUUCGUG